GUGCUGACCUCAGCAGUACAUAUCCUAAAUUGGGAAGAAACCAAGGAAGAUUAACAUGGCCUCUGUGCAAAGAUGACACUUAAAUUCCUGAGGUUUUCUGUGUUUUU